AUUAAGUAUCAGGAAGAAAGGAUGAUUCUGGAACAUUCUGGAUAAACUUUAACAUAAUUAACAUUGAUUUCAGGCCUUGCUUUCUCAUCUGAGAAAUGAAGAUGAUGUAGUUCAUGUAUUAAUUAUUGGAAGACAUCUAAACAUCUCAACAAGUCCCAAACACAGGAAACAGCUGGCUUCAGCACACGUCUCUGUGUUCAGGUCCUUCCAUCAUCUAUAAAGAUGGAGAGAGACUUCAUUAGAAACCAUUAAGAAAGAAAGGUGGGGCAGGAAAGAAAACUCAAAUGAGUUCAGGACUUUACCAGUUAUUUUCAAAUAGUCAAGGUACAGAAAGCAAAGAAGCAGUUUUCUUGACAUGAAACCCACCACCCUACCUCACCCACAUUAUUUGCUGCAUUUCUAUCAGCAAAAUAUUCAGCAAUGUACUCAUUGGGUGUUCCGUUUGUUGCUUAAUUACACAAGGUAUUUUAAAUCCUAGAAAGUGCCCUCCAUACAUUUACAUACAUUUAAAGAAUGCCACCGCUGUGCACGAAUAAUGGACUCAUACCGAAGCCAAGCACUGAGGCAAGACCUGGUAUCAACUCCCUGUUUAACUUCACUUGACCCUGGACUUCCACAAUCAUCAGGUGAAGAAUAUUUUGUUUCAUUACCUGAGUUUGGUGAUUAGCAAGAGUGUCUGAGACACGAAGGCCCUCUUGCCUGUCCAUCAAGUAAAACGUCAGGAACUGCACUUGAGCAAGCCAAUCAAUGACAAGAACAGACCAAGGAAAUAAGGAUCUUUGUUCUUGAGAUUGGCAGAAUUGAGAAACAGCUCAGAGGCUGGGCAUUAGGAUCUGUGAUAUUUGACCACACACCUUCACCUGUGAGAAGGCGCCUACCUGUCUGCAGUUAACCAUCUCCAAAUAAACCAUCUGUCCCCAAAUCAGCCUCCAGGGCAGAUGGCCCUUUAGGACAAGAUGGUCCUCUAUUCUCCAAUCAGAUAGCUCAUGGUAAGAAAGUUCCUUCUCUGCCAUGUUUUUGCCUCUGGAUUGAUUGACUUCUGUCUUUCUGUGAGCUGAGUGAGC
rnacentral:lncRNA from 1 species